rnacentral:rRNA from 1 species
UACGUAGGUGGCGAGCGUUGUCCGGAUUUACUGGGCGUAAAGAGCGCGCAGGCGGUCGUACAAGUCGCGUGUGAAAGCCCCCGGCUCAACUGGGGAGGGUCACGCGAUACUGUUCGACUCGAAGGCAGGAGAGGGAAGCGGAAUUCCCGGUGUAGUGGUGAAAUGCGUAGAUAUCGGGAGGAACACCAGUGGCGAAGGGCGGCUUACUGGACCUAACUGACGCUGAGGCACGAAAGCGUGGGUAGCAAACAGG